rnacentral:rRNA from 1 species
UACGUAGGGUGCAAGCGUUGUCCGGAAUUAUUGGGCGUAAAGAGCUUGUAGGCGGUUUGUCGCGUCUGCUGUGAAAUUUCGGGGCUCAACCCCGAACUUGCAGUGGGUACGGGCAGACUAGAGUGUGGUAGGGGGAGACUGGAAUUCCUGGUGUAGCGGUGAAAUGCGCAGAUAUCAGGAGGAACACCGAUGGCGAAGGCAGGUCUCUGGGCCAUAACUGACUGAGAAGCGAAAGCAUGGGGAGCGAACAGG